rnacentral:rRNA from 1 species
AACGAACGCUGGCGGCAUGCCUAACACAUGCAAGUCGAACGAGACCUUCGGGUGUAGUGGCGCAUGGGUGCGUAACGCGUGGGAACCUGCCCUUAGGUUCGGAAUAACUCCCCGACAGGGGUGCUAAUACCGGAUAAUGUCUUCGGACCAAAGAUUUAUCGCCUUUGGAUGGGCCCGCGUUGGAUUAGCUAGUUGGUAGGGUAAAAGCCUACCAAGGCGACGAUCCAUAGCUGGUCUGAGAGGAUGGUCAGCCACACUGGGACUGAGACACGGCCCAGACUCCUACGGGAGGCAGCAGUGGGGAAUAUUGGACAAUGGGCGAAAGCCUGAUCCAGCAAUGCCGCGUGAGUGAUGAAGGCCUUAGGGUUGUAAAGCUCUUUUACCCGGGAUGAUAAUGACAGUACCGGGAGAAUAAGCUCCGGCUAACUCCGUG